rnacentral:tRNA from 1 species
GGGGCUAUAACUUAAUUGGUAAAGUGUGUGUUUUGCUUGCAAGACGUUAGCGGUUCAAGUCCGCUUGGCUCCA